ACGUGAAAGCUCCUGGCUCAACUGGGAGAGGUCGUUCGAAACUGGGAAACUCGAGGAUGGUAGAGGAGAGUGGAAUUCCCGGUGUAGUGGUGAAAUGCGUAGAUAUCGGGAGGAACACCAGUGGCGAAGGCGGCUCUCUGGGCCAUUCCUGACGCUAAGACGCGAAAGCUAGGGGAGAGAACGGGAUUAGAAACCCCGGUAUUCCUAGCCGUAAACGAUGUCAACUAGGUGUAGGGGGUAUCCAACCCCCCUGUGCUGUAGCUAACGCGUUAAGUUGACCGCCUGGGGACUACGGCCGCAAGGCUAAAACUCAAAGGAAUUGACGGGGACCCGCACAAGCAGCGGAGCGUGUAGUUUAAUUCGAGGCUACGCGAAGAACCUUACCAGGGUUUGACAUGGCGGUGGUAGGGAGGCGAAAGCUAACCGACCCUUCGGGGAGCCGUCACAGGUGCUGCAUGGCUGUCGUCAGCUCGAGCCGUGAGGUGUUAGGUUAAGUCCUGUAACGAGCGCAACCCUCGUCGCUAGUUAUACGUGUCUAGCGAGACUGCCGGGAUAAGCCGGAGGAAGGUGGGGAUGACGUCAAGUCAGCAUGGCCUUUAUAUCCUGGGCCACACACACGCUACAAUGGCCGGUACAAUGGGCAGCUAAGCCGCGAGGUGGAGCCAAUCCCCCAAAGCCGGUCUCAGUUCGGAUUGUAGGCUGCAACUCGCCUGCAUGAAGUCGGAGUUGCUAGUAACCGCGCGUCAGCAACAGUGCGGUGAAUACGUUCCCGGGUC
rnacentral:rRNA from 1 species